UUUUUUUUUUUGAUUCAAAUGGGUUUUUGAGUUUGAAUUUGAAGGGAAAGGAGGAAUUCAUAGCCAGGCGGUGAAUUUAAGAGAGGAAAAGGCAAAGGAUUGAGGGUUAA